CCCAAGGGCUAGCACUCCUCCCCUUAACUCCUUUAUAUUUACUUUGGUCAUAUGACAAAAAUGAAGGAUGAGAAGAAACACAUUGAGAAGACUCUCUGGAAUAUGGUGGAUCAACAAGAGUUGAACAAGAUGAGAGGGAAUGGAUAGGCACAGGAUGUGGUGUAGUGACUCCAAGUCCCGUGCUAAGCAGUGCUACAUUUUUUCCUCCUUAAAAGUAGGAGGUUGGAUCAGAUGACUUGCAAGGUACUUUCCAGUUCUGGGAUGCUUUAAUUCCCUAUAUGGACAAAGG